UACAGAGGGUGCGAGCGUUAAUCGGAAUUACUGGGCGUAAAGCGCGCGUAGGCGGCUUUGCAAGUCGGGUGUGAAAUCCCCAGGCUUAACCUGGGAACUGCGUUUGAAACUGGAAGGCUUGAGUGUGGCAGAGGGGGGUGGAAUUCCACGUGUAGCAGUGAAAUGCGUAGAUAUGUGGAGGAACACCGAUGGCGAAGGCAGCCCCCUGGGCUAACACUGACGCUCAUGCACGAAAGCGUGGGGAGCAAACAGG
rnacentral:rRNA from 1 species